rnacentral:tRNA from 1 species
GGCUCGGUAGCUCAGUUGGUAGAGCAAAGGACUGAAAAUCCUUGUGUCGACGGUUCAAUUCCGCCCCGAGCCACCA